CACGUAGGGUGCGAGCGUUGUCCGGAAUUAUUGGGCGUAAAGAGCUCGUAGGCGGUGUGUCGCGUCGGCCGUGAAAACCUGCAGCUUAACUGUGGGCUUGCGGUCGAUACGGGCAUCACUGGAGUUCGGCAGGGGAGACUGGAAUUCCUGGUGUAGCGGUGAAAUGCGUAGAUAUCGGGAGGAAUACCGAUGGCGAAGGCGACUACCUGGCCUGUUCUUGACGCUGAGGCGCGAAAGCUAGGGGAGCAAACGGG
rnacentral:rRNA from 1 species